rnacentral:snoRNA from 1 species
UGGAUCGAUGAUGACUACUGGUGGCGUAUGAGUCGUAAACGAUGACUACGUCGGUAAUCUGAGGUCCAU